rnacentral:RNase_P_RNA from 2 species
CGAGUCGGCCGGGUGAUCGCGGCGCAAGUCGAGGAAAGUCCGGACUCCACAGAGCAGGGUGGUAGGUAACGCCUACCCGGGGCGACCCGCGGGCCAGUGCCACAGAGAACAGACCGCCCCGCAAGGGGUAAGGGUGAAACGGUGGUGCAAGAGACCACCAGCGCGUCAGGUGACUGGCGUGGCUCGGCAAACCCCACCCGGAGCAAGACCAAGAGGGCCGCUUCGGCGGCCUGCGGAGGCGUACGAGGGCUGCUCGCCCGAGCCUUCGGGUAGGUCGCAUCGCGUACGCGCGGGAGGCCGCCGGCGACGGCGGUCACAGAUGGAUGAUCACCGGCCCCGCAGGGGUCACAGAAUCCGGCUUACAGGCCGACUCGUUCC